GCUCCCAUGGCGUAGUGGUCACUGCGCUCGCUUUGCACGCGGGAGACCCGGGUUCGAUUCCCGGCGGGGCA
rfam:Asian citrus Psyllid, Diaphorina citri - Florida Strain, whole genome shotgun sequence.